rnacentral:rRNA from 1 species
UGGGGAAUUUUGGACAAUGGGCGAAAGCCUGAUCCAGCAAUGCCGCGUGUGUGAAGAAGGCCUUCGGGUUGUAAAGCACUUUUGUCCGGAAAGAAAUCCUUGGCUCUAAUACAGUCGGGGGAUGACGGUACCGGAAGAAUAAGCACCGGCUAACUACGUGCCAGCAGCCGCGGUAAUACGUAGGGUGCAAGCGUUAAUCGGAAUUACUGGGCGUAAAGCGUGCGCAGGCGGUUUGCUAAGACCGAUGUGAAAUCCCGGGCUCAACCUGGGAACUGCAUUGGUGACUGGCAGGCUAGAGUAUGGCAGAGGGGGGUAGAAUUCCACGUGUAGCAGUGAAAUGCGUAGAGAUGUGGAGGAAUACCGAUGGCGAAGGCAGCCCCCUGGGCCAAUACUGACGCUCAUGCACGAAAGCGUGGGGAGCAAACAGGAUUAGAUACCCUGGUAGUCCACGCCCUAAACGAUGUCAACUAGUUGUUGGGGAUUCAUUCCUUAGUAACGUAGCUAACGCGUGAAGUUGACCGCCUGGGGGAGUACGGUCGCAAGAUUAAAACUUAAUGAAUUGACGGGGUCAUAGCUGUUUCCU